AGGCUUGAAUCAAAUACACAUGUACUAGAAUUACAAUAAAGUUGUUACAAGGUCCUGAUAAUAUAUCAUUCUUGAUAAUACAUGUAUACACAAAAAUAAAAAGGCAGAAAUCUACAGCUGAAGUUCAGGGUACUUGCCGAGUAGAAUGAUGACAAAAAUUAUUUAUUUAUUGCCAGAAAGUGCUUAAAUUUAUAAAUAUAUAGAGUAUCUUCCAAGAUUAUGGAACAAAGAAAUAAUUACAUGUAUAGUAAAUUUUACAAAUAAUCAAUUUUUUUAUCAUUUUAAAGUGUAAAUCUGAAUAGAAAUGGUUUACUAUCAAAAGAUUCACUAUUUUGCUUUACAGUUACAUGUGAUAAUGAAUAUUCUCCGACAUAUUUCUAAUGUCUCUUGAAAUAUAUGUAUGCAAUAUCCUUCAAAUCGAAUAUACAUGUAUUUAUAUAUGUAUUUGUAUUGAAAAUAUUUUUUGUACUGAUAUGUGUAAUCAGAGACAAGUUUGAGUCAGAAUGUUGCCAGGUAGUUAUGUUUGUGAUGUCAGUCAAUAAACAGUUUUUACACAGCUGAGGGGUGACGAGAGAUAUGUACUUUGAUUUUUCCUUUGGUUCAGUCUCACACUUUACAGUUGUGUAUUUUAAAUAAAUCUUGAAAUAUAUUGUCAAUGAAC
rnacentral:misc_RNA from 1 species